GUCCUCGAUACAUAACUUUCUUUGACCCGAAUAAGCCAAAAAAGAAAAAGCAAUCGGUUGUUAGACAAGGUAAUUAUAUGGUAACACCUUGUAACUUCUCAGUUUUUGAUACAAUGACCUGGGUAUUAGAUAUCGGUAGUCCUAUUAACAUUUGUAAUUCAUUGUAGGGACUUCAGAUCGGUAGGAGAUUUGGAGAUGACGAAAAAUUCUGGAAUAUUGG
rnacentral:lncRNA from 1 species